rnacentral:rRNA from 1 species
GACGAACGCUGGCGGCGUGCCUAAUACAUGCAAGUCGAACGCUUGUUUCCUCCCCAGGGCUUGCACUCAAUAGGAGAGAGGGGUGGCGGACGGGUGGGUAACACGUGGGUAACCUACGCAUCAACGGGGGAAAACACGUGCUAACACGGGCUAAUACUUCAUAACACUUUAUGCAGCAUGGCAUAAGAGUGAAGGGGGCUUUCGGGGAUCGUUGAUGGAUGGACCCGCGCUGCAUUAGCUAGUUGGUAAGGUAACGGCUCACCAAGGAAACGAUGCAUAGCCGACCUGAGAGGGUGAUCGGCCACACUGGAACUGAGACACGGCCCAGACUCCUACGGGAGGCAGCAGUAGGGAAUCUUCGGCAAUGGGCGAAAGCCUGACCGAGCAACGCCGCGUGAGUGAUGAAGGUUUUCGGAUCGUAAAACUCUGUUAUUAGGGAAGAACAUGGACGUUAGUAACUGAGCGUACCCUGACGGUACCUAAUCAGAAAGCCACGGCUAACUACGUG